GUUUCUGUCGCGCAAUGGUUAGCGCGUUGAUCUUCUAAUCCAAAGGCCAUGGGUUUGACUUCCACCUGGGAUG